AUGUCGUCGAGGUGCUUGCUGCUCCUGGCUAUCUUCCUUUCGACGCAGCCAACGGGGCAGAGCGGUGAGGAAGGGCCAGCGGUUCCCGCGCUGAUGGUGUUCGGCGACUCGCUGGUGGAUGUAGGCAACAACAACUACAUCUUUACCAUCGCCAAAGCCAACUUCCCUCCCUAUGGCAGGGACUUCAAAGACCAUGUCGCCACAGGAAGGUUCUGCAACGGCAAGCUGCUUAUCGAUUUCAUAGCUGAAAAGGUUGGGUUCAAUGGCUCUCCGCUGGCCUAUCUCAGCCCAGAAGCAUCAGGACAGAACCUUCUUCUUGGAGCUAACUUCGCAUCUGCUGCAUCUGGCUACAAUGACCAUGGGACUCUGAUUAAAGCCAUCUCUGUCUCUCAACAAUUGAAGUACUUCAAAGACUACCAAGCUAAGCUGGCGGUGGUGGCUGGGAGCAGCCAUGCUCGCUCCAUCAUCUCCGGCUCACUCUACAUCAUCUGCGCCGGUUCAUGUGACUUUGUCUACAACUAUUACAUCAACCCUUUCCUCGACACGAACCAAACCGCAGAACAAUUCUCAGACCGCCUCGUCGGGAUGUUCAACAACAGUGUGACGCAACUUUACGAGAUGGGAGCCCGACGCAUCGGCGUCUUCUCCCUGCCACCCUUUGGUUGUUUUCCCAUGGCGAUCACAUUGUAUGGUCAUGGGAGGAGCGGAUGUGUGUCUAGGCUCAACAACGACGCCCAAUAUUACAACAUGAAGUUGAAAGCUGCUGUUGACUCACUAUCAAAGAAGUACCAUGAUCUCAAGAUUGUGGUUCUCGACAUGUAUGCGCCUUUGUACAACCUCGCUACCUCUCCUGUAUCGCAAGGGUUCACCGAGGCGAAGCGGGCUUGCUGUGGCACAGGGACGGUGGAGGCGUCAAUCCUUUGCAACUCCCUGUUACCUGGGACUUGUCCGAGCGCACGGACAUAUGUGUUCUGGGACGUUUGGCAUCCGUCAGAGGCAGCAAACAAAGUUGUUGUGGACUCUCUCGUAGAUGAAAUCAACAACCUGGUUGCAUAA
rnacentral:rRNA from 1 species